CCUACGGGUGGCAGCAGUCGAGAAUCAUUCACAAUGUGGGAAACCCUGCUGGUGCGACGCCGCGUGGGGGACUGAAGGUCUUCGGAUUGUACACCCCUGUCAUGUGGACGCAAAUUAAAAAGAUAGUCCCACAAGAGGAAGCGACGGCUAACUGUGUGCCAGCAGCCGCGGUAAUACAGCGGUCUCAAGCGUUGUUCGGAAUCACUGGGCGUAAAGCGGGGGUAGGCUGUUUCGUAAGUCGUGUGUGAAAGGCGCGGGCUGAACCCGCGGACGGCACAUGAUACUGCGAGACUAGAGUAAUGGAGGGCGAACCGGAAUGCACGGUGUAGCAGUGAAAUGCGUAGAUAGCGAGAGGAACACUCGUGGCGAAGGCAGGUGCCUGGACAUUAACUGACGCGGAGGCACGAAGGCCAGGGGAGCGAAAGGGAGUAGAGACCCGAGUAGUC
rnacentral:rRNA from 1 species